rnacentral:rRNA from 1 species
GACGAACGCUGGCGGCGUGCUUAACACAUGCAAGUCGAACGGAAAGGCCCUGCUUUUGUGGGGUGCUCGAGUGUCGAACGGGUGAGUAACACGUGAGUAACCUGCCCUUGACUUUGGGAUAACUUCAGGAAACUGGGGCUAAUACCGGAUAGGUGCUCCUGCUGCAUGCUGGGGGUUGGAAAGUUUCGGCGGUUGGGGAUGGACUCGCGGCUGAUCAGCUUGCUGGUGGGGUAGUGGCUUACCAAGGCUGUGACGGGUAGCCGGCCUGAGAGGGUGAGCGGACACAUUGGGACUGAGAUACGGCCCAGACUAAUACGGGAGGCAGCAGGGGGGAAUGUAGCACGAUGGGCGGAAGAAUGAUGCAGCAACGCCGCGUGCGGGAUGAAGGCCUUCGGGUUGUAAGCAGCUUUCGCCUGUGACGAAGCGUGAGUGACGGUAAUGGGUAAAGAAGCACCGGCUAACUACGUG